AUUGAACGCUGGCGGCAGGCCUAACACAUGCAAGUCGAGCGGUAACACAGGGAGCUUGCUCCCGGGUGACGAGCGGCGGACGGGUGAGUAAUGUCUGGGAAACUGCCUGAUGGAGGGGGAUAACUACUGGAAACGGUAGCUAAUACCGCAUAAUGUCGCAAGACCAAAGAGGGGGACCUUCGGGCCUCUUGCCAUCAGAUGUGCCCAGAUGGGGUUAGCUAGUAGGUGGGGUAACGGCUCACAUAGGCGACGAUCCCUAGCUGGUCUGAGAGGCUGACCAGCCACACUGGAACUGAGACACGGGACAGAAUCCUACGGGAGGCAGGAGUGGGGAAUAUUGGACAAUGGGCGCAAGCCUGAUGCAGCCAUGCCUCGUGGAUGAAGAAGGCCUUCGGGUUGUAAAGGACUUUCAGCGGGGAGGGAGGUGCUAGGGUUAAUAACCUCAGCAAUUGACGUUACCCGCAGAAGAAGCACCGGCUAACUCCGUGCCAGCCGCCGCGGUAA
rnacentral:rRNA from 1 species